rnacentral:rRNA from 1 species
UACGAAGGGGGCGAGCGUUGUUCGGAAUUACUGGGCGUAAAGGGCGCGUAGGCGGCCGAUCAAGUCAGAUGUGAAAGUCCUGGGCUUAACCUGGGGGACUGCAUUUGAUACUGAUUGGCUUGAAUGCAGGAGAGGAUAGCGGAAUUCCCAGUGUAGAGGUGAAAUUCGUAGAUAUUGGGAAGAACACCGGUGGCGAAGGCGGCUAUCUGGACUGUGAUUGACGCUGAGGCGCGAAAAGCGUGGGGGAGCAAACAGG